AACGAACGCUGGCGGCAUGCCUAACACAUGCAAGUCGAGCGCCGUAGCAAUACGGAGCGGCGCACGGGUGAGUAACGCGUGGGAACCUGCCCAGAGGUUCGGGACAACCGCGGGAAACUGCGGCUGAUACCGGCUGAUACCUGAGGGUCAAAGAUUUAUCGCCUUUGGAGGGGCCCGCGUCAGAUUAGGUAGUUGGUGAGGUAACGGCUCACCAAGCCUGUGAUCUGUAACUGGUCUGAGAGGAUGACCAGUCACACUGGGACUGAGACACGGCCCAGACUCCUACGGGAGGCAGCAGUGGGGAGUAUUGGACAAUGGGGGCAACCCUGAUCCAGCAAUGCCGCGUGGGUGAUGAAGGCCUUCGGGUUGUAAAGCCCUUUCGGCGGGGACGAUGAUGACGGUACCCGCAGAAGAAGCCCCGGCUAACUUCGUGCCAGCAGCCGCCGUAAGAC
rnacentral:rRNA from 1 species